GCGAACAAAAAAUCGGACGACGCCCUAGCUCCCUCCGCCCGCGGGUCGCCCGCUCCCUCGCGCCCCUGUUGCUCCCUCCUCGAUCCCGAUCUGGAUCGAGGGGACGAGGAGCUCCUGCCUCCCCGACGGCCGACCUCCUCCUCGCCCCGCCGCUGCGUCCGGCGCCGCCACGGCCUCUGGAGCCAGGGAAGCCAUGGCCUGAGCUCGGCCUCGAGGUCCCCGCCGCCGUCUCCUGCAGCUUCUGCCCCGCCGCCUCACCGCCCGAGCUCGCCGUCGCACCAACCUCGGCGCCGCGCCGCCGCCGGCUCUGGUCGCCUCCACCUCCGCGCCGUGAGGAACCCGCCACACGCGUCAAGGCGAGGCGCCUCCUGGGCUCCGUCCGUUUCCAGAGCGAGCGCCCGCGAAUACCUAGCUAGCCGCCGCCGCCGUGACCGUUCCAGCCACCGCCAAGCACACUUCCUCUUCCACCUCCGCGUACUCCUGGUUGCAGCCCCAGCUCUUCACGGGCAGGGAGAGAAGGGGGGCAUGAUCGGCGGGGCAGAGUUCUUUCGGAAGGACAGCGUGGUGGGCAACAUGGACGGAUACCUCAGCUACCUGUCCCUCGAGUAUGACUUCGUCUCGGACACCAAUCCUGCUUGGGUAUCUUCAUUUUGGAAGCAGGAAUCCUUUCCUCAUAAGAUGGAUGAGCUGUAG
rnacentral:rRNA from 1 species